GCUGGAUGCGGUGGCCCACGUCUGUCAUCCCAGCAGCUCAGGAGGCUGAGGCAGGAGGAUCAUGAGCUCAAAGCCAGCCUCAGCAGUUUACUGAGGCCCUAAGAAACUCAGUGAGGCCCUGUCUCAA
rnacentral:sRNA from 1 species